rnacentral:rRNA from 1 species
UAGGGAAUCUUCCGCAAUGGACGCAAGUCUGACGGAGCAACGCCGCGUGAGUGAAGAAGGUUUUCGGAUCGUAAAGCUCUGUUGUUAAGGAAGAACGAGUGUGAGAAUGGAAAGUUCAUACUGUGACGGUACUUAACCAGAAAGGGACGGCUAACUACGUGCCAGCAGCCGCGGUAAUACGUAGGUCCCGAGCGUUGUCCGGAUUUAUUGGGCGUAAAGCGAGCGCAGGCGGUUAGAUAAGUCUGAAGUUAAAGGCAGUGGCUCAACCAUUGUAGGCUUUGGAAACUGUUUAACUUGAGUGCAGAAGGGGAGAGUGGAAUUCCAUGUGUAGCGGUGAAAUGCGUAGAUAUAUGGAGGAACACCGGUGGCGAAAGCGGCUCUCUGGUCUGUAACUGACGCUGAGGCUCGAAAGCGUGGGUAGCAAACAGG